rnacentral:tRNA from 1 species
UGGCAUGUAGUCUUCCGGGUGAAGGCGCUCGGCUGUUAACCGAGAUUGAGGCUGGUUCGAGUCCAGCCGUGCCAG